AAGCGGGAAAAGCCNGGGAUGAAAAUCUCCUCGGAGAGUUGUAUUCCGAGUGUUCCCAGGGUGGUCAGUGCGGGCAAGUCGUCUGGGAUGACGCGCCACGGAGGGUGAGAGCCCCGUCCAACCCGCACAGGAUCCACCCGUACAGGAACGCUUCAACCGAGUCGGGUAGUUUGGGAAUGCUGCUCUAACAUUGGUGGUAAAUCUCAUCAAAGGCUAAAUAAAAGUGGGAGACCGAUAGCGAACAAGUACCGUGAGGGAAAGAUGGAAAGAACUUUGAAAAGAGAGUGAAAAGCACUUGAAACCGUCACGGGGGAAGCGAAUUGCGUUAGUGAUGUUCUGGCCUGUUCAGCUAUUUGUCGAGAAAUGAAAUACCUUUUUCGUCAAACAGUGUAUUCUGGCAAGAACGUGCUUGUGUGGCUGGCGGGAGUGUGAUGAGACAGUGCGUAGGUAAAUCAUGGUCGUAAAAACACUGUGAGGUGCCCAUUCUACUGACCCUCGACACUCUGAAACGCUGGUGAGGGCUCCCUCUUCCAUGAGGUUUUUGAGGACAUGAGCAAAAUGACGCAAUACGACCCGUCUUGAAACACGGACCAAGGAGUCUAGCACGGCUGCGAGUCGAAAGGUGAUUACGAAACCUAUUGGGCGCAGUGAAAGCAAAUCCAGGGGAAUUUUUUUAAAAUUUUUCUGAACAAAGCAAAUUGGGGAGGCGUUGCGGUUUUACCAACAUGUCCUACCUUGAGCAUCUGUGCUGGGACCCGAAAGAUGGUGAACUAUGCCGGAGUAGGGCAAAGCCAGAGGAAACUCUGGUGGAGGCUCGUAGCGAUGCUGACGUGCAAAUCGCUCGUCGAACUUGGGUAUAGGGGCGAAAGACUAAUCGAACCAUCUAGUAGCUGGUUCCCUCCGAAGUUUCUCUCAGGAUAGCGGGCCGACAAAAAAAUUUCAUAUUGUUGUUUUGUGUGGUAGAGCGAAUGAUUAGUGCAUUUGGGGGCCGAAGGCCUUCGGGCGAUUCUCAAACUUCAAAUACGCAAGGGGGCCGCUGCUUCACUGCGAACGUGAAAGGGGAGAAAUUUCAUUUCUUUCUUGAUCGUUCGCAAGUAUGAGCGUGCUCUUCGAAAAACGUCGGCUCCGUGGGCCAUUUUUGGUAAGCAGAACUGGCGAUAAGGGAUGAACCUUAAGCGCGGUUAAGGCGCCGCAUUGCCCGCUUAUAGACCCCACAAAAGGUGUUGAUUCAUUUAGACAGCAGGACGGUGGCCAUGGAAGUCGGAAUCCGCUAAGGAGUGUGUAACAACUCACCUGCCGAAUGAAUUAGCCCUGAAAAUGGAUGGCGCUGAAGCGGGCAGCCGACACCGCGCCGUUCAGGCGAAAACAUUUUUUUUUAUAUAUAUGUCUGAAUGAGUAGGAGGGCGUGGCGGUCCGUGACGCAGGCGAGGGUGCAAACCCCGCUGAAACGGCCGCUAGUGCAGAUCUUGGUGGUAGUAGCAAAUAUUCAAGCGAGAUCCUUGAAGGGCGAAGCGGGGAAGGGUUCCAUGCUAACAUUGAUUGGGCGUGGGUGAGUC
rnacentral:rRNA from 1 species